rnacentral:rRNA from 1 species
AGUGAACGCUGGCGGUAGGCCUAACGCAUGCAAGUCGAACGGCAGCACAGUAAGAGCUUGCUCUUACGGGUGGCGAGUGGCGGACGGGUGAGGAAUACAUCGGAAUCUACUUUUUCGUGGGGGAUAACGUAGGGAAACUUACGCUAAUACCGCAUACGACCUACGGGUGAAAGCAGGGGAUCUUCAGACCUUGCGCGAUUGAAUGAGCCGAUGUCGGAUUAGCUAGUUGGCGGGGUAAAGGCCCACCAAGGCGACGAUCCGUAGCUGGUCUGAGAGGAUGAUCAGCCACACUGGAACUGAGACACGGUCCAGACUCCUACGGGAGGCAGCAGUGGGGAAUAUUGGACAAUGGGCGCAAGCCUGAUCCAGCCAUACCGCGUGGGUGAAGAAGGCCUUCGGGUUGUAAAGCCCUUUUGUUGGGAAAGAAAAGCAGCAGGUUAAUACCCCGCUGUUCUGACGGUACCCAAAGAAUAAGCACCGGCUAACUUCGUG